AAGAUCAUACUUCACAGGAUCAUUUCUGUAGUAUGUCUUCACAUUAUCUCUACUCAAUCGUAGAGACAAUGUAACCACGUUGAUGAGUUGAUGUGUGGAGUCCUGAGCGUGAGGUAGAUUCUAGUCAAUCCAUUGGGUUGUCAAGAAUCAGCGAUGAUCGUUCAGCCACCCGAUUUUAUCGGGUGGAUAAUGGAUUUCACACUUGCUGAGUGGU